rnacentral:rRNA from 1 species
GGGUUGUGAGGUUAAGCGACUAAGCGUACACGGUGGAUGCCCUGGCAGUCAGAGGCGAUGAAGGACGUGCUAAUCUGCGAAAAGCGUCGGUAAGGUGAUAUGAACCGUUAUAGCCGGCGAUGUCCGAAUGGGGAAACCCAGUGCAAUUCGUUGCACUAUCGUUAACUGAAUACAUAGGUUAACGAGGCGAACCGGGGGAACUGAAACAUCUAAGUACCCCGAGGAAAAGAAAUCAACCGAGAUUCCCCCAGUAGCGGCGAGCGAACGGGGAGCAGCCCAGAGUCUGAAUCAGCUUGUGUGUUAGUGGAACGGUCUGGAAAGUCCGACGGUACAGGGUGAUAGUCCCGUACACCAAAAUGCACAGGUUGUGAACUCGAAGAGUAGGGCGGGACACGUGGUAUCCUGUCUGAAUAUGGGGGGACCAUCCUCCAAGGCUAAAUACUCCUGACUGACCGAUAGUGAACCAGUACCGUGAGGGAAAGGCGAAAAGAACCCCGGCGAGGGGAGUGAAAAAGAACCUGAAACCGUGUACGUACAAGCAGUGGGAGCACCUUCGGGUGUGACUGCGUACCUUUUGUAUAAUGGGUCAGCGACUUAUAUUCUGUAGCAAGGUUAACCGUAUAGGGGAGCCGCAGGGAAACCGAGUCUUAACUGGGCGUUAAGUUGCAGGGUAUAGACCCGAAACCCGGUGAUCUAGCCAUGGGCAGGUUGAAGGUUGGGUAACACUAACUGGAGGACCGAACCGACUAAUGUUGAAAAAUUAGCGGAUGACUUGUGGCUGGGGGUGAAAGGCCAAUCAAACCGGGAGAUAGCUGGUUCUCCCCGAAAGCUAUUUAGGUAGCGCCUCGUGAACUCAUCUUCGGGGGUAGAGCACUGUUUCGGCUAGGGGGUCAUCCCGACUUACCAACCCGAUGCAAACUACGAAUACCGAAGAAUGUUAUCACGGGAGACACACGGCGGGUGCUAACGUCCGUCGUGAAGAGGGAAACAACCCAGACCGCCAGCUAAGGUCCCAAAGUCAUGGUUAAGUGGGAAACGAUGUGGGAAGGCACAGACAGCCAGGAUGUUGGCUUAGAAGCAGCCAUCAUUUAAAGAAAGCGUAAUAGCUCACUGGUCGAGUCGGCCUGCGCGGAAGAUGUAACGGGGCUAAACCAUGCACCGAAGCUGCGGCAGCGACACUAUGUGUUGUUGGGUAGGGGAGCGUUCUGUAAGCCUGCGAAGGUGACCUGUGAGGGUUGCUGGAGGUAUCAGAAGUGCGAAUGCUGACAUAAGUAACGAUAAAGCGGGUGAAAAGCCCGCUCGCCGGAAGACCAAGGGUUCCUGUCCAACGUUAAUCGGGGCAGGGUGAGUCGACCCCUAAGGCGAGGCCGAAAGGCGUAGUCGAUGGGAAACAGGUUAAUAUUCCUGUACUUGGUGUUACUGCGAAGGGGGGACGGAGAAGGCUAUGUUAGCCGGGCGACGGUUGUCCCGGUUUAAGCAUGUAGGCUGGUUGUCCAGGCAAAUCCGGAUAAUCAAGGCUGAGGUGUGAUGACGAGGCACUACGGUGCUGAAGUAACAAAUGCCCUGCUUCCAGGAAAAGCCUCUAAGCAUCAGGUAACAUUAAAUCGUACCCCAAACCGACACAGGUGGUCAGGUAGAGAAUACCAAGGCGCUUGAGAGAACUCGGGUGAAGGAACUAGGCAAAAUGGUGCCGUAACUUCGGGAGAAGGCACGCUGGUGUGUAGGUGAAGCCCCUGCGGGUGGAGCUGAGACCAGUCGAAGAUACCAGCUGGCUGCAACUGUUUAUUAAAAACACAGCACUGUGCAAACACGAAAGUGGACGUAUACGGUGUGACGCCUGCCCGGUGCCGGAAGGUUAAUUGAUGGGGUUAUCCGUAAGGAGAAGCUCUUGAUCGAAGCCCCGGUAAACGGCGGCCGUAACUAUAACGGUCCUAAGGUAGCGAAAUUCCUUGUCGGGUAAGUUCCGACCUGCACGAAUGGCGUAAUGAUGGCCAGGCUGUCUCCACCCGAGACUCAGUGAAAUUGAACUCGCUGUGAAGAUGCAGUGUACCCGCGGCAAGACGGAAAGACCCCGUGAACCUUUACUAUAGCUUGACACUGAACAUUGAGCCUUGAUGUGUAGGAUAGGUGGGAGGCUUUGAAGCGUGGACGCCAGUCUGCGUGGAGCCAACCUUGAAAUACCACCCUUUAAUGUUUGAUGUUCUAACGUUGGCCCCUGACCGGGGUUGCGGACAGUGUCUGGUGGGUAGUUUGACUGGGGCGGUCUCCUCCCAAAGCGUAACGGAGGAGCACGAAGGUUAGCUAAUCCUGGUCGGACAUCAGGAGGUUAGUGCAAUGGCAUAAGCUAGCUUGACUGCGAGCGUGACGGCGCGAGCAGGUGCGAAAGCAGGUCAUAGUGAUCCGGUGGUUCUGAAUGGAAGGGCCAUCGCUCAACGGAUAAAAGGUACUCCGGGGAUAACAGGCUGAUACCGCCCAAGAGUUCAUAUCGACGGCGGUGUUUGGCACCUCGAUGUCGGCUCAUCACAUCCUGGGGCUGAAGUAGGUCCCAAGGGUAUGGCUGUUCGCCAUUUAAAGUGGUACGCGAGCUGGGUUUAGAACGUCGUGAGACAGUUCGGUCCCUAUCUGCCGUGGGCGCUGGAGAAUUGAGGGGGGCUGCUCCUAGUACGAGAGGACCGGAGUGGACGCAUCACUGGUGUUCGGGUUGUCAUGCCAAUGGCACUGCCCGGUAGCUAAAUGCGGAAGAGAUAAGUGCUGAAAGCAUCUAAGCACGAAACUUGCCCCGAGAUGAGUUCUCCCUGAGACUUUAAGUCUCCUGAACGAACGUUAAAGACGAUGCCGUUGAUAGGCCGGGUGUGUAAGCGCAGCGAUGCGUUGAGCUAA